AUAAAGUAAGCUAAUAAAGCUAUUGGGUUCAUACCCCAAAUAUGACUAAAUAUCCUUUAUA
rnacentral:tRNA from 1 species